UCCAUCCUCCUUAGCUUUUGGGUGGGCCUUAAGAAAUUGGUAUUAAGGCUCUCCAGAGAAAUAGAAUCAAUAGGAUGUGUGUGUGUGUGUGUAGAUGAGGAAGGGGCGUGGGGGAGGGAGAGAGAGAGAGAGAGAGAGAGAGAGAGAGAGAGAGAGAGAGAGAGAUUGUAUGUAAUGUAAUUACGGAGGCUGACAAGUCCCAAGUCCCAAGCUCUGCAGUGUGAGUCUGAGCCAGUGAACUGGGGACUUAGAGGAGCCAAUUGUGCAGUUCCAGUCUGAGUCCAAAAGGCUGAAAACCAGGAAGAGAUGAUGUUUCAGUUCCAGGUCAAAGACAGAAGGAAGCCAGUGUCCCAGUCUGAAGUCUCUAAAGAAGAAUAAAUUCCAGUUGGUCUCCCAAAGGCCCAACUUGAAUGGCUUCCUGGAAACUUUGAAUUUAAGGACCAUGCCUUUUACUUCUUUCAUACUCUGCCUUAGAGGACCCAGGACAAUGCCAUGCCUGUAGAAGAUAAAGAAAUUGAAGCCCAGAGGAGCUGAGUAACUUAUCCAAGGCAUGGUGGGUGUUAAGCAACAAAGUCGGACCCGAACUAAGGUCUGUCUGAUGCCAAACACAUAGUCACAUGCUAUGUGCAGUAUAGGCAACUGUGCUUAUUUUGUUUCUUGUCUCAAAACUGCCAGCGAGAGAAAAUAAACCCUACUUGUAUAAAAUCAUUCCUCAAAAGGAGCUUAGAUAAAGUCAAAUGCAAAUUACCAAGCUAUAAUCCUUUUAAAAACGACUUACUAUUCUGGAAAAUUUUGUUUAUAAUGAGAUAACUUGGGCUUAGUUGUUGGAGAUAAUACUAUUUGUAUACUUAGACAACAGCUACUCAUGGCCUGGCCUAGCCAAGAGAAUUUUAGAAAUUCAAGUCUUUUUGUUCACUUUGGAGUCCUUCUCUUCCUUUGGUGAUCUCUGUAUUUGGUAGUUCCCAGGGUUAUUUUAAGCUAGAAUUCUGAAAAUGUAUCAACUUAACAAUACCAAUCCAUUAAAACAAAAGUAAAAUACGAAAUUCACCCAAAGAGUUUUCUUACAGUCAAAAUUGUUUCAAUUGUAGUUUGCAUUAGUCUGGGCUCUUCAGUUAUCAUGAGAUAUAUCCAACUCACAUCAGCUUAAAGAAAAAUAAUUCUGAGCUCAUGCAGUUGGGAAGGAUUCUAAGCUGAGUUCUGGAAUGAAAAGUUGAGCUGCAGGAACUGGGGUGUAGAGUCCUGAAACUGGGGUGCAAUGCCAUGAGGUCUGUCCUCAUGGACGUCUGUCUUUCAUCUCUGCCAUCUCUGCUCAGCUUCUCUGCAGACAGG